UACGUAGGGUCGAGCGUUGUCCGGAAUUACUGGGCGUAAAGGCGCGUAGGCGGCUUAGGUAAGUGGGUGUUAAAUCUCCCGGCUCAACCGGGAACCUGCACCUCAUACUGCUUAGCUUGAGUACAGCAGAGGGAGACUGAAUUCCCGGUGUAGCGGUGAAAUGCGUAGAGAUCGGUGGAACACCAGCGGCGAAGCGGCAUCCUGGCCCGUGUACUGACGCUGAGGCGCGAAUAGCGUGGGGAGCAAACGGG
rnacentral:rRNA from 1 species